AGAGCGAACGCUGGCGGCAGGCUUAACACAUGCAAGUCGAGCGGGCGUAGCAAUACGUCAGCGGCAGACGGGUGAGUAACGCGUGGGAACGUACCUUUUGGUUCGGAACAACCCAGGGAAACUUGGGCUAAUACCGGAUAAGCCCUUACGGGGAAAGAUUUAUCGCCGAAAGAUCGGCCCGCGUCUGAUUAGCUAGUUGGUGAGGUAAUGGUUCACCAAGGCGACGAUCAGUAGCUGGUCUGAGAGGAUGAUCAGCCACAUUGGGACUGAGACACGGCCCAAACUCCUACGGGAGGCAGCAGUGGGGAAUAUUGGACAAUGGGCGCAAGCCUGAUCCAGCCAUGCCGCGUGAGUGAUGAAGGCCCUAGGGUUGUAAAGCUCUUUUGUGCGGGAAGAUAAUGACGGUACCGCAAGAAUAAGCCCGGCUAACUUCGCGCCAGCAGCCGC
rnacentral:rRNA from 1 species